rnacentral:rRNA from 1 species
UGGGACUGAGACACGGCCCAGACUCCUACGGGAGGCAGCAGUGGGGAAUAUUGCACAAUGGGCGCAAGCCUGAUGCAGCGACGCCGCGUGAGGGAUGACGGCCUUCGGGUUGUAAACCUCUUUCGCCAGGGACGAAGCGCAAGUGACGGUACCUGGAUAAGAAGCACCGGCUAACUACGUGCCAGCAGCCGCGGUAAUACGUAGGGUGCGAGCGUUGUCCGGAAUUAUUGGGCGUAAAGAGCUCGUAGGCGGUUUGUCGCGUCGGCCGUGAAAUCUCCACGCUUAACGUGGAGCGUGCGGUCGAUACGGGCAGACUUGAGUUCGGCAGGGGAGACUGGAAUUCCUGGUGUAGCGGUGAAAUGCGCAGAUAUCAGGAGGAACACCGGUGGCGAAGGCGGGUCUCUGGGCCGAUACUGACGCUGAGGAGCGAAAGCGUGGGGAGCGAACAGGAUUAGAUACCCUGGUAGUCCACGCUGUAAACGUUGGGCGCUAGGUGUGGGCGACAUUCCACGUUGUCCGUGCCGUAGCUAACGCAUUAAGCGCCCCGCCUGGGGAGUACGGCCGCAAGGCUAAAACUCAAA